rnacentral:rRNA from 1 species
GCAGGGAUCCCGCAUGGGAAUAUUUGCUAAAGAUUCAUCGCUGAUAGAUAGGCAUGCGUUCCAUUAGGCAGUUGGCGGGGUAACGGCCCACCAUACCGACGAUGGAUAGGGGUUCUGAGAGGAAGGUCCCCCACAUUGGUACUGAGACACGGACCAAACUCCUACGGGGGGCAGCAGUGAGGAAUAUUGGUCAAUGGCCGAGAGGCUGAACCAGCCAAGUCGCGUGAGGGAUGAAGGUUCUAUGGAUCGUAAACCUCUUUUAUAAGGGAAUAAAGUGCGGGACGUGUCCCGUUUUGUAUGUACCUUAUGAAUAAGGAUCGGCCAACUCCGUGCCAGCAGCCGCGGUAAUACGGAGGAUUCGAGCGUUAUCCGGAUUUAUUGGGUUUAAAGGGUGCGUAGGCGGCCUUUUAAGUCAGCGGUGAAAGUCUGUGGCUCAACCAUAGAAUUGCCGUUGAAACUGGGGGGCUUGAGUAUGUUUGAGGCAGGCGGAAUGCGUGGUGUAGCGGUGAAAUGCAUAGAUAUCACGCAGAACCCCGAUUGCGAAGGCAGC